GAAUGGAUUAAGAGCUUGCUCUUAUGAAGUUAGCGGCGGACGGGUGAGUAACACGUGGGUAACCUGCCCAUAAGACUGGGAUAACUCCGGGAAACCGGGGCUAAUACCGGAUAACAUUUUGAACCGCAUGGUUCGAAAUUGAAAGGCGGCUUCGGCUGUCACUUAUGGAUGGACCCGCGUCGCAUUAGCUAGUUGGUGAGGUAACGGCUCACCAAGGCAACGAUGCGUAGCCGACCUGAGAGGGUGAUCGGCCACACUGGGACUGAGACACGGCCCAGACUCCUACGGGAGGCAGCAGUAGGGAAUCUUCCGCAAUGGACGAAAGUCUGACGGAGCAACGCCGCGUGAGUGAUGAAGGCUUUCGGGUCGUAAAACUCUGUUGUUAGGGAAGAACAAGUGCUAGUUGAAUAAGCUGGCACCUUGACGGUACCUAACCAGAAAGCCACGGCUAACUACGUGCCAGCAGCCGCGGUAAUACGUAGGUGGCAAGCGUUAUCCGGAAUUAUUGGGCGUAAAGCGCGCGCAGGUGGUUUCUUAAGUUCUGAUGUGAAAGCCCACGGCUCAACCGUGGAGGGUCAUUGGAAACUGGGAGACUUGAGUGCAGAAGAGGAAAGUGGAAUUCCAUGUGGUAGCGGUGAAAUGCGUAGAAGAUAUGGAGGAACACCAAGUGGCGAAGGCGACUUUUCUGGUCUGUAACUGACACUUGAGGCGGCGAAAGCGUGGGGAGCAAACAGGAUUAGAUACCCCUGGUAGUCCACGCCGUAAACGAUGAGUGCUAAGUGGUUAGAGGGUUUCCGCCCUUUAAGUGCUGAAGUUAACGCAUUAAGCACUCCGGCCUGGGGAGUA
rnacentral:rRNA from 1 species